rnacentral:rRNA from 1 species
UACGGAGGUUGCAAGCGUUAUCCGGAAUUAUUGGGCGUAAAGAGCUCGUAGGCGGUUUGUCGCGUCUGCCGUGAAAGUCCGGGGCUCAACUCCGGAUCUGCGGUGGGUACGGGCAGACUAGAGUGAUGUAGGGGAGACUGGAAUUCCUGGUGUAGCGGUGAAAUGCGCAGAUAUCAGGAGGAACACCGAUGGCGAAGGCAGGUCUCUGGGCAUUAACUGACGCUGAGGAGCGAAAGCCUGGGGAGCGAACAGG